rnacentral:rRNA from 1 species
CCUACGGGAGGCUGCAGUGGGGAAUAUUGGUCAAUGGGCGAGAGCCUGAACCAGCCAAGUCGCGUGAGGGAGUACUGCCCUAUGGGUUGUAAGCCUCUUUUGUCGGGGAGCAAUUUGCGCUACGUGUAGCGUUAUCGAGAGUACCUGAAGAAAAAGCAUCGGCUAACUCCGUGCCAGCAGCCGCGGUAAUACGGAGGAUUCGAGCGUUAUCCGGAUGUAUUGGGGUUAAAGGGUGCGUAGGCGGAAUGCCAAGUCAGCGGUAAAAUCGCGGGGCUCAACCUCGCUCCGCCGUUGAAACUGGCGGUCUUGAGUGGGCGAGAAGUAGGCGGAAUGCGUGGUGUAGCGGUGAAAUGCAUAGAUAUCACGCAGAACUCCGAUUGCGAAGGCAGCAUACCGGAGCCCGACUGACGCUGAGGCACGAAAGCGUGGGUAUCGAACAGGAUUAGAUACCCCAGUAGUC